rnacentral:lncRNA from 1 species
GGCACCUGUGGACCGCUGCCCUGGGAAGGGAUGAGUGGAGUCUUUCCUGAGGGAUUCUCAAGGCAGAAACUAGGCGCCUCCCAAGUUUCCCCCCCAACAUUUCCAGCUGGGUGAGUACACUGAGCUCUAACCUGUACUUUGAGUAUGAAUUUUUCUUUUUUGUACUGGGGCUCAAACUCGGGUCCUUGCUCUUGCAAGGCAGACGGUGGAACCACUGAGCUAAAUCCCCGGCCCUCUAACCUGCACUUUGAACUGACGAAUGCUGAUCAGGGCUCUCUGUACAAGCACAGAGCCCUGCGUCUGAACCCACAGCUGUAGGAUUCGCCUCAUUUCUUUUCACGGUCUCAUUGAAGGCAGGAGCAAGGCCGCCCCAGGCAGCCGCUCCAGAUCUCCAAAAGGGACCCCAGGCACUGGCCGAAAGCACACAGGGCCACCAGAAGCAGGAAGGGUGAAAGCCAGGCUGCCCUCAGAACUGCCUCUCUCAGCAGCAGAAGGUGAAGGAGCUGGGGAGCUGGGGAUGGAGGUCAGUGGUGCUGCCCCUGCCUGGCAAGCACAAAGUCCUGAGUUCGAUUCCUGGUACUGGGAAGAAAAAAGAACUGGAGGGCUGGAGCCGAAACUCACGCACACUUACUUCUGAAGAAGAGCCUGUGCCCCUGGACAGCCCUGCAGCCCCCCUCCCUGCUUCCAGUGGGGAAGAUCCACAUGCUUGCCCAGCCUCGGCCAUGCCAGAAAGAGCUAGUUGUGGUUCAUGCUUCAGUCACCUCAGUCGGUGCACGGAUGGCCUAGCACAGAGGCUGUGGAGGACGCUGCUCACUGAAUGGCAGCCUGGAAACAGACAGAGGAGAGAAGAGCUGAGAGGGCGAUAAACCUCCCUCGACACGCUCCAGGGACCCCACCUCCUCCGUCAGACCCUGCUUCCCAGCAGCCAGCUGUACCACGUCAUCAAACAAUGACCAUUCCCUGGCAUAUUAUCGUAAAAAUGAUGAUUUUAAUCAUAGGUUCCACUUGACUGAGUGCCCCCGAUGUUCUACCCAGUACAUGCAACAUCUCUGCUAAUCCUCAGGAAAAAGCCAUUAUUAUCCCCUGGCCAAGAGGGGAAAACCAAAGCUUACAAACUUCAGCAAAUAUCCUGCCUGUGGUUGAUGCUGUUCAUUCUGCCAUUCCCUGCACUCAUAUUAUGCCACAGCGGAUGAACUGACUUUAGCAAAAUAAUGUAGCAAUUAUUUCCUGUUUGUAAAACAGCUUCACCAUUAGAAUAUUUAACCCUUUGCCCCACUUAUUACUGUUGUAGCCCAGGUUUUUGUGUAGUUAGGUCACCUAAACAGUAGAUACAGUUUGCAUAAUGAUGCUCUGGCUCAGGACAGGUAAACAAUGGUUUUGUAAGAUUAUAAUAGAGCUGAAAAGUUCCUAUUGCAGUGAACACACGGCUGGAGAAUAGAAAGAGAAACUGCAGGGGGAAAUAGAACCCUGAAGAAAAUUCACAGUGAAGAUUUAGCAGAAGCGGUUGCAGACUUCAACAAGCUCCUUACAAGUGUUUGAAAACCCACAGGCUGUCCUUAAUAGAGAAGAGUUUUCAUCGCAUUAUCUGCCUACAAGAAAAAUCUAUGACAGAAAAAAAGAGAGAAGCAAACAACUAAGGACAUAUUUCUUUCUUUCUUUCUUCUUUUUUUUUUUUUUGAGGUACUGGGGAUUGAACUUGGGACCUUGUGCUUUCGAGGCAGCUGGUGGCACCACUGAGCUAAAUCCCCAGCCCACUAAGGGCAUAUUUCCGAAGAGUGACCUGCCUCAGUCCUUCAAGAGGGAUCCAGAGGGAAGCCACAGCUGUGGUCAUGGGGGUGACAGGCACCUUGUCACUGCCUUCCGGGGGGAGAGGAUGUGGAGGCGGAAGGCAGAGACUGACACUCCUCAUCCUGUGUAGGCCUAGGCCAAUGUGUGUGUUUGCAUCUUGAUUUUUAAUUUUUUUAAAAGUUUAAAAAGUAAAAUAAAAUUUAAAUAGAAAAGCUUAUAUAACAAGGGUAUAAAACUACUUUUGUACAGCUGUACAUGUUUGUGUUUGAAGCUGUUAUUACAAAUGAGUCAAAAUGUUUAAAUUAUCAAGAGCAUAUAAAGUAAAAAUGUUACAGUAAACUGAAGUUAAUUUAUUACCGAAGGAAAAUACUGGUCAUCAAUUCAGUGCAGGCUAGGUGUGGCCUGUGUAAAGUCCACAGCAGUGCACAGAAACAUCCUGGGCUUCCACACUCACUUCACCACUCGGGGUACGUACAAGGCACCAUCUCUACCACAUCUUAACUGUGCCUUUUCUGCAUUUGAAUGCACGAAUACUGUUAUGGCUGUCUAGAUGUCUCCCAAAGCCCCAUGCAGUCGUAGCUGGGGGGUUUUCAGAGGUGGCUGGAUUUAAAGUGUGUAAUUGAUUCAUGGUGCAAUGCUAGGAUUAAGAGUGCUAGAAUUAAGGGUGUGUGAUUACUAAAUCAGUCCACUGAUUGGUUUGGCCCUGCCCUAAUCUCAGUAGCCUGAGUACAGUAUAAGGGACAGAAGAGGCUUGUCUUGUCCUGGCGAAGCCCAACCGACCUCCAAUGCUGCUUGACAAAGUUCCCGGUGGGGGAAAGAAAGGGUGGAACACAUCGUACCCUCAUGUUUUAUUUUUUCUUGCCAUAAUGUUUAUAAUUGUUACUCUGAUCACAGGAGUCAUUGUGUUUGUGACUAACAACAAACUCUCCAUGAGACAAAUUGGUAAUGAUACAUUGAAAUCUGAUCUGGCUCACAAGUCCCAAAUUCCAGUUUCUCUUAGUUCUAUUGCCACAUCCACUCCUAAAGAAACCUCUCCUAAAACCCCCUCUGUUUCCCCACUACUAUGACUCCCCCUCUUAUUGCUGACAUUCUUUUUACUAAAGGGGUCUUAUGAAGAGAUUGAAAGGACAGACUUUAGAUGUAAGAAAUAGUGGAAAGUGGGAAAUAGAAAGAACGUUAAGACAGGUAAAUGCAUUAAGGAGGCAAGUUACUCAGUAUUUCUCAAAGUGCUGUAAAUAUCUCCUGCUCGUGGACUAUGAACCCAAAUGACAUUUAGUUAAGAUGAAUAGAGGUAUAGAAAAACAGAGAGCUAAUAGCAAACUAUAUUAACCAUUGUGCAGUUUCUCAAGGGCCAGCUGGUGAUCACAAGUUUGACACUUAGUUGAUUAAAUCUUGCUUGUACCCCCACUGAUAUAAAGAUUUUGAUUAAGUUACUUUCUGUUCUGUUUAGGUGUGGGUAAAUAAGGGGACAAUUGUAAUUUUUAAAUAUGUAUUUGUGACGUUCAAUGAAAUGAAACAGCUUAGAGGAAUUGUACUUUGUUUAGCAAAAAAUAACCUUUACUUCAAUAGAAAUUGCUAAGGCAAUCUAAAAUGUAAACAUGUUCCGCCCAGUGCCUCCUAGCCAUUGCUUAAAGAUA